ensembl:ncRNA K02C4.9 ncRNA
UCUCUUUUAACCGGAUCGAUGACACCAUGUUUAGAAGAAGAGAAUGUAUCAUGUUUCUUUUACAUUUGUAUUGCUUAAAUGCCAUACAGACACAUCACUAACUCUCUCUGUCUCUUUGUCAUCGUUCGU